GACGAACGCUGGCGGCGUGCUUAACACAUGCAAGUCGAACGGAAAGGCCCUGCUUUUGUGGGGUGCUCGAGUGGCGAACGGGUGAGUAACACGUGAGUAACCUGCCCUUGACUUUGGGAUAACUUCAGGAAACUGGGGCUAAUACCGGAUAGGAGCUCCUGCUGCAUGGUGGGGGUUGGAAAGUUUCGGCGGUUGGGGAUGGACUCGCGGCUUAUCAGCUUGUUGGUGGGGUAGUGGCUUACCAAGGCUUUGACGGGUAGCCGGCCUGAGAGGGUGACCGGCCACAUUGGGACUGAGAUACGGCCCAGACUCCUACGGGAGGCAGCAGUGGGGAAUAUUGCACAAUGGGCGGAAGCCUGAUGCAGCAACGCCGCGUGCGGGAUGACGGCCUUCGGGUGGUAAACCGCUUUCGCCUGUGACGAAGCGUGAGUGACGGUAACGGGUAAAGAAGCACCGGCUAACUACGU
rnacentral:rRNA from 1 species